ACACACAAAGGAGUUAAAACCCUUAAUGUAGCCCUCUUACCGGAUUCUAUUGUGGGUGUUGCAAGCCCACAAUUCCCUGAUUGCAGGAUGAACGGACUAAUUCAAGUAAAUUCAACUUGCAGUGUCAAAAAGAGCAAUGAGACUUAUACAGUGACAUGGAAUAAUACAAUUUCAAAUCUGACAGUCGCUGAAGACGCCUAUACAUCAGUCUAUAGAAUAACAGUCAAUUGUGCUACUGUUACUCUCAAUGAUAUUACUGUAACGUGUUCAUAUAAAAACACUAUGGGGCAAGUGAAAUCACAAGACAUAAACAUUUCAAUUAUUAAAAGUGGUGAUAAUGUUUGUCCAGAAGAUGGAGAUUGGCCAUUAAGCAAAAGUGGUAAAGUGGCAGUUCUGCAGUGUUUACCUACUGAAGUGGGGACAAGAACACGGAAAUGUGAAGGA